GAUGAACGCUAGCGGCAGGCUUAAUACAUGCAAGUCGAGGGGCAUCAAGGUACACGAAAGUGUAUUGUUGGCGACCGGCGGACGGGUGAGUAAUAGGUAGGUAACCUACCUCAUACUGAGGCAUAGCUGGGAGAAAUUCCAGGUAAUUCCUCAUGAGGUUAUAUGACACAUGUGAUAUAAUCAAAGGUAUCGCAAGGUACUGGUAUGAGAUGGGCUUACUGACCAUUAGCUAGUUGGUGAGAUAAGAGCUCACCAAGGCGAAGAUGGUUAGGGGUUUUGAGAGAGAGAUCCCCCACAUUGGAACUGAGAUACGGUCCAGACUCCUACGGGAGCAGCAGUGAGGAAUAUUGGUCAAUGGACAGAAGUCUGAACCAGCCAAGUCGCGUGAAGGAAGACGGCCUUAUGGGUUGUAAACUUCUUUAACUACGCGAAUAGAGGUUAGUACGAGAUACUAAUAGGAAGGUAGUGUAGUAAAAAGCAACCGGCUAACUCCGUG
rnacentral:rRNA from 1 species